rnacentral:rRNA from 1 species
UUUUAUUUGAGAGUUUAAUCCUGGCUCAGGAUGAACGCUGGCGGCGUGCCUAACACAUGCAAGUUGAGCGAUUUACUUCGGUAAAGAGCGGCGGGCGGGUGAGUAACGCGUGGGUAACCUACCCUGUACACACGGAUAACAUACCGAAAGGUAUG